rnacentral:lncRNA from 1 species
CUGGAAACACAGAAAAGAUCACACAUCUGUCAAAAGUUCCUUUCCUGUGUAAUGAAUUGUCAUUCGAUAUAACAAUAAAGGACCCACUUUCGUGUCAUAAGCUUAUUUUUUUUCUCCUUUCAUACCCCAUGUGUAAAUGGGCAAAACUCCAUUUCUGAAACUUAUCUUAGUCAUCUUUCUCAGUCAUGUUUACUGUAAGACUGUUCAGUAUAUUUUUGAGGGAGGAAAAUGACUUCCAAUAUAACCUUGCCUCCCAUGUGAUAAAAUAUAAAAUCCUUAUCCUCAGUCCAGUUAGUGAGCACUGAUAUCUAAUAUAAGUAUGCUGGUUACUAAGCCGGACACAGUCCUAUGCUGGUUGGUUUUUAUUGCGUGAGUUCUAGUGGCUGGAAUCAGAAGGGGCUAGAACUUUCAGAAAGCCUAUCUCUAGUGACUUAUUUUCCUCAGUCAGGCUCAACUUCCUGACAACUUCACAGCAUACCAAAAUGGCGCCACCAUUUGGGACUAAGUAUUCAAACACAGGAGCAUGAUGGCAAACAUUUCAAGGAAAAACCCUCCACCCUUGUCCUCUGUUCUCAAGUCUCCUAUUCUAGAACCUGUUACCUUCCUUUUAGUGAGUAAGCUUUAUUAAUAUUUCCUAGGGAGAAAAAAAAAAACGGUCAGUGAAUUCUCUGCACAUCUGUCUACCUAACACAUGCCCUGUAACAAAGAAUUGUCUUAUACCCACCAUCCGCUCUCCUCCUGUUAACUCAGUACAUGGUCUGUGUCUAGAUGGCUGUUCUGUGUAUAGAUGGUUGUUCUGUGUUUAGAUGGUUGUUCUGUUUAUAGAUGGUUGUUCUGUGUACAGAUGGUUGCUCUGUGAAUAGACAGUUCCUCCACACGUGUUCUCAUUCAGCCCUGCAGGAUAAAUCAUGUCUGACUUGUGGCAACUCUGAUCUAUAUUGGUUCUGUCCUGUCAAUGUUGAAUCACUUUCAUGUCGUAUUUAUUUUAAGAUGACAAACAUACAGCUCUUCAGCUGCCUGUCUCCAGUUCUUCCUUGCUGUCAUUCCCUGACAGUGAGCCGUUGACCUGAUUAAUUAAACUUGCUGUCUCUAUUUCUUGUUCGUCAUUUGAAGAAUCAUUGAUGCUAUAGAGCUAUUUCUUCUACUGGACUCCUGAGAAACUUUCCCACAUGUCCAGGACAAUCU